ACCACUGAGCUAAAUCCCCAGCCCUCAUUUUCAUUUUUAAAAAUACCAAACCAUUUUUUUUUGUACUGGAAAUCAAACUCAGGGCUUCACACUUGCCAGGCAGGUGCUGUGCUGCCCUGGCCCCCAAAAUACCAAAUCUUAAAAAUACUAAAACUGGGUCAGGGAUUUAGCUCAGUGGUACCAUGCCUGCCUCUCGAGCAUAAGGUCCUGAGUUCGAUACCUGGUGCCACCGCCCCCCCGAAAAAACCCCAAAAUACUAAAACUGACUCCAACUAAUGAGGUCACAGUGCCUGAUAAAAACAGUACCUAAAUAUCUUGCAAUAUUUAACUGAACUCUUAGAAAAACUCCUGACUUGAGGAAAGGGGUUCACUUUUCUAGGGGUAAAACAUUCUACCUAGGGACAGACCCAUUGGUUGCAGGUUCCCAGGGACAGUGGGAUCACAUGUCCCUUUUUCAUGUCUGCAUCCCUACCUUACAUGCCCCUGAACACACUGAACCUCAGGCCAAAGAUGUUGGAAAUAGAUUUGAGGGUACUCUGAGAGCCCAAGAGAUGACCAUUUGGACCAUUUCAGAAAGCCCUAGAUGAGUGUGUGACCAAUAUGUACUGGUCACACUCUGGCCUUGGCCAGGCAACAUCAUGGAGUCAUCAAAGCUCCCAGGAAAACGAGGAUGCCCAGCAGGGCUGGAACUCCAGACUGGCCCUGGGUGCAUGAUUAUCUGACCUGCUUUUUUCCUUCACCUGUCUUACACAGAGUGAGGCAAACACCUUCUCUCCUAGGAGUUCAAGUGGUACCUCCUGCCCAAGGCCUAGCAUGAAGAAGGGAAACAAAUGCUUGAUGAGCCAAACUAGAUGGCUCUGUUCAGUCUGGUUCUUCUGCUACUCCAAUUCUCUAGAACCCCUGAACGCCCUGCUGGGUUCCCCACACAAGCACCCUGUCUCCUCCCUCAAGACUGUCUACAACUUCUAAUCCUAAAUCUUUCCUCCCUGCUGUCAGUUCGCCCAUCUUGUCCUUAAAUCCUACAUUUCUCCCACUCAUCUCUAUACCUCUUCCCUUGGCCCAAACUUUAAUCUCCUUGUCCUCCCCACCACCCAAGCUUCUACCCAUUGCACCCACAUCCCCAGACUCACCCAGGAACAAAACCUCGCGGUCCAGUCGGCACUUCAGUUGGCACUACAGGGAGGUGACGGUGAAUGUGUCCUCAGGGUGAGGUUCCGCCAUGGGCCCCAGGAAGCCGCUCUUGGGGCCCCCCACCCAGGCCAGGAUGCGCCUGCGGCAUAAAGCCUGGAUACCUGUAGGCAGUGUCCUGCAGGGGCAGCAGCGAGUCCCUCGGCACGGGGGACAGGGUCAAGUCACUAAGGAGUGGGCAGCCAUAGCCAGCAGCGGCUGCAGCAGGGCCACGGGGUGGACCAGGUGGCCGGGCCAUCUCUAGUGGCUCCUUGUCGGCCUUGGGCGUGGCCGGUGGGCUGGCCAGGUGUGGGGCGGUGAGGCACGCGGCCUCCGUCCUGCCCAGGAAGUCAGCCAGCAGCCCUGUGCCCACCUUGCCUUCAUAGGGUGGGCUACGGGCAGCUGAGCCUGGUGGGUACCAAUAGGCUGUGCCCUUGCAACUGGGGGAAUCGUAGUGGGGCUGGCCCAGGGGCAGGUCCCGGCAGCUCAGGUGGGCCUGGGCUGCAGCCGUGUGGCCCAGGCUGGCCCCCUGGAGCCCAUGCUUGAGGGGCUCGCAGGCAGCUAGCUUUGUGGGUGGUGGCCGCAGCUCUUCCUUGAAGCCUAGUGUGGGUGAGCAGGUGGGUGAGUAUGCCUUCUGGAGGCCAGCAUCAAACACUGUGGGUGGGUGGGCCAGUGGCGGGAAAUGCUUGCCAUCAAGGUCAGGAGCACCCAGGCUGGGUGAGUCGCAGUGGAAGCCUUGGCCGAAGGUGCCGUCGGAAGGUGUGGAUGGGUUCAUGGAGUAGGGCCCCAUGAAGUCACAGGGGUCUCGCUCUCCAACACUAAAGGCCCUUGACUGAGAGGGCAGUGGUGACAUGCUGCUGUCCCCACUGUAGUAGUCCAGGCCAAGGUCUGGACUGUCCUGGAAUAGUGGGUUGACUGGCUGUGGCUUGGGGAUGAACUUGGCUUUGGCAGCUGCACCACCUCGCUCCUUCUUAGCUGAGCAGGCCCCACUGCCCCGACCACCCCGUGGCUGCCGGGGCCCAGUGCUCCGUUUGGAAGGGUAGCCUGAGGCAGCAGCUGAGGCAGAUGUUGAGAAGCCCAGAUGUGAGGCCUCAAACAGGUCCACCUUCUUCCGCCGUCCACGGCCAGGCUUGGAACUGCUCUGGAAGAGGACACUCUGGUUCCAGUUGUAGCCAGGGGCGGAUGAUGCCUCGUUCCAGUCCAUCAUCAGUUUCUCUAGGCUGGACAGGCUUGACUGGCCCUCACUGCUUGAGGCCUCACUGUUGGCACGACGAAAACCGCCGCCACUGACUGGCUGAUUGAAUUGGGUGCUGUCAGAGGACGACUCAGAGAAGGUCUCAGACACGGCUGUCUGCUGCUUCACCUUCUGUGGCGUGUAGUUGGAGAUGUCCAGGAUCACAUUGGGCUCACUGACGUGGCAGUCAAAACUGGGGUUGUAGAGCUGACUAAAGGCCUCUGAGGCCCAGUCCAGGCCUCCAUAACCCUGCCGGAAAGGCCACUGAGAAGCCCCCCGCAAACUGCCGACAGUUCUCAGGCGAGGGCUGAAAGGAGGAGGAGGAGGAGGAAGCGGCAGAGGCUGCAGAGGUGGCAGAAGCUGUGGUGCCCUUGGGUACCAUGUAGCCACCAGGCGAGACAGUGCUGGCCCGGCUGUCACAGCGCAGGGGUGUGGGAGCUGAACCAGAGAAAGGGGCCCCCUCAGAGCUGUUGAAGAAGGAGGCCUUGCUUGGUGGCAAGCAGGGACCCCCAGUAGGCGGUGGGGCAUAGCCAGCACUGUGGGCACUGCUGGGUGAGGCAGGAAGGCUAUUGCCACUGCCAUAGGCGAAGCUGCAGUCCUUGCUGUUAGCGCAGUCCUGGCCUGUAAAGGGCUUUGCUGGGGCGAAUACACUUUGUCCAGCCCCAUAUCCACCAUACUGGGGUGGGUAGUUGGAGAUCGGGCCACGGCUGAAGGUGGGGGAGCCAGCUUUGGGAAGGUUUCGGCUGCCCGGCAAUCUGAAGUGGCUGGGGUUAUCCCAUAGCUUGUUGCUCGUCCUGGUGGAAAGGUCUGGCGAGUGGGCAGGACAGGCUGGAAGGAAGGGUCUGCCCCAGCCCCACUGCUGCCCACUGCCACUGGGCUGGCCUUGGCUCCUCGGCUGGGGAAGGUGGCCAGGCCCCGCUGGGUGGGCAGGGCACUGGUGGGUGGCCCUGUGUAGGUGCCUGAUGCCUUCCGGGACUCUGGGCGGGAGGCUGAGAGGGCAAAGUCCAAGAGGUCGGAGGAGUCAUCCGAAUCAAGCAGUGAGCGAAAAUAGCCAGUGAAGAGGUUUUGGCGCUCCUGGCUGAGCUCGGUCUGGCCCGAGGGCGUGGCCGUGCUGUAGUAGCUGCCACGGCCUGAAGCCCCACUCUCCAGCCCAGUGGAGGCAAAAGCCCGGGCCUCGGUCCCCUGGAAACCACAGUUUCGGCCAGCUUGCCCGCCUGGGUGCCCAUGGUGAGGGGCCCAGCCACCACUCUUGUCCCCAGGCCACUCAACACCAGCCUCCCCAAAGCCUGGGCCACUGGGUACCUGCUCUGGAAACAGAGUCCCAUUUUUCCGGGACCGCCUCUUCCGCUUGGGCUUCCCUGUCAAGGCGUCCACCUCCCCCGGCCCCGUUUUCGUGGGUGCCCCAACUCAGUGAGGCCGGGACCUCCAACCCCAGCAGCUGCCACUGUCACCACCUUUUUUUUUUCUUGCCGAUGCCCUCAAAGAAGUCACUGAAAGAGCAUCUGGCUGCCUUGGCUGCAUGGCCCCCACCCCGGCCACCAAAACCACCUGCCUUGCCCCCACGGCGCCGGAAGCCCUGCACACGAUGCAGGAAGUGGGAGAUGCUCUGGGUGUCAGGGGCCUGGUGUACAGACUCAGGCUCACUGGGUGUCCAGCAGCGGGGUGGUGAGCACCGCCCAGCACACUGGCUCUGGCGGUUCAGGAAGGCCAGUUUGGCGAGGACAUCUGAGUACUCAGCCUUACUGUCAUUGGCAUCUGCUGCAUAGGACGGCUGGGGGGAUGCCAGCUUCUGCUUCCGCCGCCGUCGUUUCUUUACCUCUGGGAUGGCCAUGGUGGCUGCAGCCACGGUGGCUGCCUCGGUUGCUACCACUGCUGGCUCCUUGGGCUUGCCGGGACCCAGCAGUAGGUUCUUAGGAGGACGGCCCCGCUUACGCUUGAGAAUAAUUGGCAUCUCACCUGGUGGGAAGACCACGACCACAUUUCGCCCAUUGUUCUUCAUCUUCAGCAGUGGGGUGGGCUCUGCUGAUACUCGUAGGCCUAACUCCUUGCCCUCCACGCUCAGGCUGCUACUCAAAGAUGACACUUUGUACGUGGUCUUAUUCCGCCUCCCCAGUGAUACAGGGAUCUUAGCCAUCUUCACCACCAUGCGCCUCACACCCCGGCACUUGCCUUUGCGGGCAGGGACCACUGGAGUCUGGGAAGAUUCUGGCUCCAGUUCUUGGACUGGGCCUGGGCCUGGCAGGACAGGUGGUAGUGGAGGUGGUGGUGGUGGAGGCUCAGCCAGGACAGCUCCCAGCCCUGUGGGCAUAGGCAGGGGUAGCAGGCGGCCCUCAGGUCCAGCAUCUGCCUUACGCCCCCGACCAGCUUUCCGCCGGCGACAUAGGAUCUUUGGCCUAUCGGUGCGCCGCAAGGCAUACUUGGGGUGGCCCUCAGGCCCAGGGGGGCCAUGGGGUGAGCACAAGUCUAGGCGCAAGGGCUCGGCCAAUGGACAGUGCCCCAGGGGCUGUUGGGGCUCCAGACGGUGACCUGGGACAUCCAACAACUUAGGCAGAGGGUCAAGUGCCUGGGGGUCAAGCAGCUGUGACUCCAGGGAGUCAGGCAAAGUAUCCAGGGCCUGUAAAGCCAGGCUUGGCAGCCCCAGAGGGUCAGCAAGAGGUUGCAGGGGAGGCAACUCCAAAGCUUCCCCCAGUGGCUCUAGUGCCUGUGGGUCCAGGAAACGGGGCUGGGGGUCCAGGAGCUGAGGCUCUGGCUCAGGCGAUGGUGGCUCUAGGGCCUGGGCCUCUAGCAGCUGGGCCUCGGGGCACGUAAGGGAGGCUAGCUCACUGAGGAUGUCAGCUUCUGCGAGUUCUGAGUAAUCAGGGCCAUCUGGCUCAGGCUCUGGGGGCAAGCCAGUGGCUGCAGCUGUGGCUCCAGGACUAUGGCCUUGGCCAGGCUGGGGACUGUCCCUAGGCUCAGGCUCAGGCUCGUAGAGGGGGUGGCUGGGUCGCUCUGACUUGGCAUGAGGGGUGGCGCGCUCCUCAGGGCUGCGGAUGCUGUUGGCCAGGCUAGGUGAAGAGAAGAAGCUGUACUGCAGAUCACCAGGUGGCGGGGCAGGGGGCCGGCUCAGCCGUAGCCCACCACAGUCCAGAUGCACCCCACUGUGCUGCAGGUCCUGGGAGAGGCGUGUCAGGUCCUUCAUGAUGUCAAUCAGCUGCACCACUGGAUGCAGGUUCACCCGCCCGUUGUCCCAGUGGCAGCGGGAGCUGCUGUCUCCGGCUGGUAUGGGGCAGCGAGCCUGGGAGAUGGGCCGGGCAGCCCUUGGGGGCAGUGGGUCGUCGCCCUUGGGAAGGACUGGAGGGCGUCGGGUGCUGGGGUCCCGGCGUGGGGGUGGGCGUGGGUUCUCGGAGAAGGUGUGGGUGGAGAAGGCCUUGUCAGGUGGACUGGCAGGGGGCCGGGUGGGAAGCAAGGGCCGGGGGGCGGGGGGGCCGCCGGGGUAGUACUUGGGCUCCCGGAGGUAGUCAGGAGAGCUGCACACGGCACUGGAAGUCACCACCAGGCCCUGGGGCUUCACACGCAUCCUGACCUUGUCCUCUGCGGGCCGCCGGGCGGGGCCGGGGCUGACAUGAGGGUGCGAGAAGCCGGGACCAGGACCUGCUUGGCAGGACAGGCAGAAGGUCAUGCACUGAGCACACAAGUCCUCAUCAGCUUCCCUGAUCAUAAUGAACCCCUGGACCCCUCCCCAAAGUCUCAUCACCCUUACCAAACUCUAGCCCCAGCCCCAAGCCUAAUUCCCUUGGGGAUCUUCAGCCUUCCCCCAAACACUCUGUGCACAGUGAAUCACUCACAGGCCCCAGUCCCAUGUAUGGACAGACAGCUCGUGCCCUUCU
ensembl:lncRNA